UACGUAGGGGGCAAGCGUUGUCCGGAAUCAUUGGGCGUAAAGAGCGUGUAGGCGGCCCGAUAAGUCCGCCGUGAAAGUCCAGGGCUCAACCCUGGAAUGCCGGUGGAAACUGUCGGGCUGGAGUCCGGAAGAGGCGAGUGGAAUUCCUGGUGUAGAGGUGAAAUUCGUAGAUAUUGGGAAGAACACCGAUGGCGAAGGCAGCUCUCUGGACCGUUACUGACGCUGAGGCGCGAAAGCGUGGGGAGCAAACAGG
rnacentral:rRNA from 1 species